rnacentral:rRNA from 1 species
AUUGAACGCUGGCGGCAUGCUUUACACAUGCAAGUCGAACGGCAGCGCGGGCUUCGGCCUGGCGGCGAGUGGCGAACGGGUGAGUAAUGCAUCGGAACGUGCCCAGUAGUGGGGGAUAGCCCGGCGAAAGCCGGAUUAAUACCGCAUACGACCUGAGGGUGAAAGCGGGGGACCGAAAGGCCUCGCGCUAUUGGAGCGGCCGAUGUCGGAUUAGCUAGUUGGUGGGGUAAAGGCUUACCAAGGCGACGAUCCGUAGCUGGUCUGAGAGGACGACCAGCCACACUGGAACUGAGACACGGCCCAGACUCCUACGGGAGGCAGCAGUGGGGAAUUUUGGACAAUGGGGGCAACCCUGAUCCAGCCAUGCCGCGUGCGGGAAGAAGGCCUUCGGGUUGUAAACCGCUUUUGUUCGGGAAGAAAUACUCUGGGCUAAUCCCCCGGGGGGAUGACGGUACCGGAAGAAUAAGCACCGGCUAACUACGUG